GGCGUCGUGGCCGAGUGGCUAGGCAGGGGCCUGCAAAGCCCCCUACUCCGGUUCGAAUCCGGACGACGCCU
rnacentral:tRNA from 1 species